CAGCAGGAUCCCAAAUACCCAAGCUCCCCAAGGUUAAGUUCAGGGUGGUUCUCUCGGCCUGAGACCUGGUCCAGAGCAAACCCAGCCACCUGCGCUCCAUCUCCCCUCCGAACAGAGAAUGCAGACGUGCAAGGGAGCACAGGGGCUCGGCCAGCCCUGGCCCCAGGGAAGGAGCCCUCCCAGCGGAGGGCAAGUGCCCUAAUGAGCCGGUCUGGAAGCCGCGCCCUCCCCAGGCCACUGCGGGGAGGGGCUGGCCGCCACCGCCACCGCCACCCCGCCUCGCGUCCGCCCAGCGUCUGGUCUGUCGGUUCGCUCGCGGCCCUGGUUGGGUGGGCAGCCGAGCCCGAGCCUCCGCCACAGCAAAGGCGCUGGGACGAGCGGAACCGGUGGCGGGGAGCCUGCCACGCCCCCGUGCGGCCUGGACCGGGCUGAGCGCAGCCGGCGUCCUGCACGCGGCCUGGGAGAGGUGUUUUCACCGUGAUGACAACAGGUGCCCUCCUCCGCCACCAUCGCUGAUUCCAGGCCAGAGCCGUGCGAGGACCAGGGAGGUGAAUCUGACCCGGCGGCGUUGUGUCUCCUGGGAAAUCGAGGCUUGGGAGAAAUCACUGGGAUUGGCCCCCUUGGAAGGACCACAGCACAAAACAGGGGCUCACCCACCCAGUGAGGCACAGCCGUUGACACACCUUGGACCGCCUUGUCUGAGCAAGAUGGCAGCGGAGCG
rnacentral:lncRNA from 1 species